GCAACAGCGUCCCCAUGGCCGUCGGCCGCUGCGCCGUCCAUCGCUGCGCUGGCUCGCCCAACCUCGCCCUGGGUCAGCCCUCGCUCCGUAGGAGUUUGAGAAAUUGUUUCUGCAACCCGUUGGUUGUUUCAGGAAUUAUUUCUGCAACACGGCCGUUGUUGCAGAAAGACGAAGGAAAUAAAAUCCGCAACAAACGAUGGUUUCUGAAACUCGGCCUUUGUUUCAGGAAUUAAUGGGUC